GGUGUGUGUGAACUCAAGGCUGGGCAUGAAGAUAAUAUUCCUUCAGAGGCAGUGUUCAUAGUCGGAACUCCACCAAUGCAUGGAUACCUCCAAAAAUUUAUACCAGAAGAAGGCAGCUUGGGUGCAGAUGAAAAGUCCCUUUGACUUUCACACAACCGGAUGUGGAGGAUGGCAAUAUCCUUUAUGUGCAGACAUCCCCCAACCAAGAACAGGACUGUUUUUCCCUGGAUGUGAUGAAUGGUUUCCAAGUUGUGAGCAGAGUCGAAAUCUUGGUGGACACCACGCCUAAGUGGAUUUUUCUGCAGGUACAGAAUUUCACAGUUCAAGAAGGUGGCUCCAGAGAACUUCUAGAAGACUACCUCAAAAUUCCAAGUAAAUAUUUUGAGGGAUUUGACUGUGAAUUUGUUCUACUUAUUAAACCACUGAAACACAGUUAUGUUAAAAGUUCUAAUUUUCCAAGAGGAAAGCUAAUAAAAUUUAUUGGGAAACAGGUAA
rnacentral:lncRNA from 1 species